GAUGAACGCUGGCGGCGUGCCUAAUACAUGCAAGUCGAGCGAACAGAUAAGGAGCUUGCUCCUUUGACGUUAGCGGCGGACGGGUGAGUAACACGUGGGUAACCUACCUAUAAGACUGGAAUAACUCCGGGAAACCGGGGCUAAUGCCGGAUAACAUUUAGAACCGCAUGGUUCUAAAGUGAAAGAAGGUUUUGCUAUCACUUAUAGAUGGACCCGCGCCGUAUUAGCUAGUUGGUAAGGUAACGGCUUACCAAGGCAACGAUACGUAGCCGACCUGAGAGGGUGAUCGGCCACACUGGAACUGAGACACGGUCCAGACUCCUACGGGAGGCAGCAGUAGGGAAUCUGCCGCAAUGGGCGAAAGCCUGACGGAGCAACGCCGCGUGAGUGAUGAAGGUCUUCGGAUCGUAAAACUCUGUUAUUAGGGAAGAACAAAUGUGUAAGUAACUGUGCACGUCUUGACGGUACCUAAUCAGAAAGCCACGGCUAACUACGUG
rnacentral:rRNA from 1 species